GACGAACGCUGGCGGCGUGCUUAACACAUGCAAGUCGAACGGAAAGGCCCUGCUUUUGUGGGGUGCUCGAGUGGCGAACGGGUGAGUAACACGUGAGUAACCUGCCCUUGACUUUGGGAUAACUUCAGGAAACUGGGGCUAAUACCGGAUAGGAGCUCCUGCUGCAUGGUGGGGGUUGGAACGUUUCGGCGGUUGGGGAUGGACUCGCGGCUUAUCAGCUUGUUGGUGGGGUAGUGGCUUACCAAGGCUUUGACGGGUAGCCGGCCUGAGAGGGUGACCGGCCACAUGGGGACUGAGAUACGGCCCAGACUCCUGCGGGAGGCAGCAGUGGGGAAUAUUGCACAAUGGGCGGAAGCCUGAUGAAGAAACGCCGCGUGCGGGAUGACGGCCUUCGGGUUGUAAACCGCUUUCGCCUGUGACGAAGCGUGAGUGACGGUAAUGGGUAAAGAAGCACCGGCUAACUACGUG
rnacentral:rRNA from 1 species